ACACGUAGGGGGCGAGCGUUGUCCGGAAUUACUGGGCGUAAAGGGCGCGUAGGCGGUAUUUUAAGUCAGAUGUGAAAACCUUGGGCUUAACCUGAGGAUGGCAUUUGAAACUGGGAUACUUGAGGGCAGGAGAGGAAAGCGGAAUUCCCAGUGUAGCGGUGAAAUGCGUAGAUAUUGGGAAGAACACCAGUGGCGAAGGCGGCUUUCUGGACUGAACCUGACGCUGAGGCGCGAAAGCCAGGGUAGCGAACGGGAUUAGAUACCCCGGUAGUCCUGGCCGUAAACGAUGGAUACUAGGUGUGGGAGGUAUCGACCCCUUCCGUGCCGCAGUUAACACAAUAAGUAUCCCGCCUGGGGAGUACGGCCGCAAGGCUGAA
rnacentral:rRNA from 1 species